rnacentral:rRNA from 1 species
UAUGAACGCUGGCGGCGUGCCUAAUACAUGCAAGUCGAGCGAACAGAUGAGGAGCUUGCUCCUCUGACGUUAGCGGCGGACGGGUGAGUAACACGUGGAUAACCUACCUAUAAGACUGGGAUAAAUUCGGGAAACCGGAGCUAAUACCGGAUAAUAUAUUGAACCGCAUGGUUCAAUAGUGAAAGACGGUUUUGCUGUCACUUAUAGAUGGAUCCUCGCCGCAUUAGCUAGUUGGUAAGGUAACGGCUUACCAAGGCAACGAUGCGUAGCCGACCUGAGAGGGUGAUCGGCCACACUGGAACUGAGACACGGUCCAGACUCCUACGGGAGGCAGCAGUAGGGAAUCUUCCGCAAUGGGCGAAAGCCUGACGGAGCAACGCCGCGUGAGUGAUGAAGGUCUUCGGAUCGUAAAACUCUGUUAUUAGGGAAGAACAAAUGUGUAAGUAACUAUGCACGUCUUGACGGUACCUAAUCAGAAAGCCACGGCUAACUACGUG